rnacentral:rRNA from 1 species
CAGGCCUAACACAUGCAAGUCGAACGAACCCUUCGGGGUUAGUGGCGCACGGGUGCGUAACGCGUGGGAACCUGCCUUUAGGUUCGGAAUAACUCAGAGAAAUUUGAGCUAAUACCGGAUAAUGUCUUCGGACCAAAGAUUUAUCGCCUUUAGAUGGGCCCGCGUUAGAUUAGAUAGUUGGUGGGGUAACGGCCUACCAAGUCGACGAUCUAUAGCUGGUCUGAGAGGAUGAUCAGCCACACUGGGACUGAGACACGGCCCAGACUCCUACGGGAGGCAGCAGUGGGGAAUAUUGGACAAUGGGCGAAAGCCUGAUCCAGCAAUGCCGCGUGAGUGAUGAAGGCCUUAGGGUUGUAAAGCUCUUUUACUAGGGAUGAUAAUGACAGUACCUAGAGAAUAAGCUCCGGCUAACUCCGUGCCAGCAGCCGCGGUAAUACGGAGGGAGCUAGCGUUGUUCGGAAUUACUGGGCGUAAAGCGCGCGUAGGCGGCUUAUCAAGUCAGGGGUGAAAUCCCGGAGCUCAACUCCGGAACUGCCCUUGAAACUGGUUGGCUAGAAUAUUGGAGAGGUAAGUGGAAUUCCGAGUGUAGAGGUGAAAUUCGUAGAUAUUCGGAAGAACACCAGUGGCGAAGGCGACUUACAGGACAAUU